GGAGACACCCCCUUGGACAAGCAUGACCUUGUCCGAUGAGUAGAGAGUUGGCACAUCCCUGUGGUAGGGAAUCUUGUUUCUUGCACUUCCUAGGAUACAGCAUAGCAACACUUGCCUGGCAUUCUACUGGCUCAAUUAGGUCCCAAUUGAGCCAUAGAUAAAUGAUUCAUGUGCAUGCAUGUAAAUAACUUGUUAGUGGUUAUGUUUUAGCAAAGAAACAAAAGCUGACAUUAGAAUCAACAAAUAAGAUAAAUAACGCUAUAAAAUCAAUGGACCAAAACUUAACCUUGAAGACUAGAACUAAUCGGUUGUGGUAGCCAAAUGAGAGGUGGGCAGUACUAGGAAUCCAGUGUGGAACUAUGGAUGGGAUUCGAUGUGUAUGCA
rnacentral:lncRNA from 1 species